rnacentral:tRNA from 1 species
ACCGGCAAAUAGUGGUGGCUCAACUGGUAGAGCAACUGACUUGUAAUCAGUAGGUUGGGGGUUCAAGUCCUCUUGCCGGCA